rnacentral:misc_RNA from 1 species
AACUUUCGACAAUGGAUCUCUACUACCGGCGAUUGCGUUCCGGCCGGAUCGGGCAGGUGCACCUGCAGGGUACGGGCACCGGCGUACAUCAGGCUGCCGUAUACAUCUAGGAUCGUCACGUGAUGGCUGGUCAGAGCGGGCGGUGGCGGGCGUUCCUCGAAGCGCCCGUCGUCGCGUGGAAUGAGCUCGACCACCGCGAGGUCCAUGGCCUCCUGGUUUAGUUGCAGCAGCAACGACAGCGCCACCCCCACGCCGACCGCCGCGGCGACGGGCAGGAACAAGGUGGCGGCGAAGGUGGUAAUAACCGCCACCUGCGAGAUGCGGCCGGUGCGCAGGAUGCUGGUGACUUCCCCGAGCCGCAGUGAUCCGUUGCUAAAAGUUCCACACCUUC